rnacentral:rRNA from 1 species
AACGCGAAGAACCUUACCAAGGCUUGACAUGUGCCAGACCGCCGUGGAAACACGGUUUCCCCUUUGGGGCUGGUUCACAGGUGGUGCAUGGUUGUCGUCAGCUCGUGUCGUGAGAUGUUGGGUUAAGUCCCGCAACGAGCGCAACCCUCGUUCCAUGUUGCCAGCGCGUAAAGGCGGGGACUCAUGGGAGACUGCCGGGGUCAACUCGGAGGAAGGUGGGGACGACGUCAAAUCAUCAUGCCCCUUAUGUCUUGGGCUUCACGCAUGCUACAAUGGCCGGUACAAAGGGCUGCGAUACCGCGAGGUGGAGCGAAUCCCAAAAAGCCGGUCUCAGUUCGGAUUGGGGUCUGCAACUCGACCCCAUGAAGUCGGAGUCGCUAGUAAUCGCAGAUCAGCAACGCUGCGGUGAAUACGUUCCCGGGCCUUGUACACACCG